UUUCCGUAGGUGAACCUGCGGAAGGAUCAUUAUUGAAUACGUUUGGUUCUGAUGCUGGCUCUUCACUGAGCAUGUGCUCGAUCCAUAACUAUUUAUCUUCUCUUGUGCACCUUUUGUAGUCUUUCAGAGCAAGUGAUAACUCUCGCAGCAAUGCGGUUUGGGGGACUUGGGCGUGAGCCCUUCCCCUGCAUUUGCUUCUUUGGAGGGCUAUGUUUUCAUAUACACUAUAAAGUUACAGAAUGUCUUUUAAAGAUUGUGCUAGUCGCAGUCAUUAAACCUAUACAACUUUCAGCAACGGAUCUCUUGGCUCUC
rnacentral:misc_RNA from 1 species